rnacentral:tRNA from 1 species
UGCGGUUGUGGCGGAAUUGGUAGACGCGCAGCGUUGAGGUCGCUGUGGGGUAACUCCCGUGAAAGUUCGAGUCUUUUCAACCGCACCA